rnacentral:lncRNA from 1 species
CCCGGCAAGAUGGAGAAACCAGAGUAAAUGGAUGAGUGGGAUUCUGGGCCAGUUUGCCUGUGAUGGCAAGGUCCUGCACAUGACGACUAGGGAGCAGAUGGUCCCGUUGGUUUACUUUCUGGGUCUUUCUAGGAGUUAGAGGAAUCCUGAUUGAGUCUGUGAUGCACUGAGUUUGGAAACUCAUGGUUCACUGUUCUUUGUUGUUUUUUUCCUGUGGAUUAGCAUCCAUUUGUAACAGCAGCCAAGCCAGCAUCCACCCUGGCACCACUCAUCAGCUCAGUGAAGAAGAAGAAGACAAAGAAGACAAGAAUCUAACAACUAAGAUAUUACCACCAAGUUAGAGUAGGAAUGUAGAGUAGGACUCUAGAGUAGGAUUGUUAAGUAGUUUUGUAGUAUAGGUUUAUAGAUAGGAUUAUAAUUAAAUAAAUUUUCAAAACAUCAAGUCAUUUGGAAGAUUCCCCUCCUUCUGGCCCCUUCACAAAACAUUUCCUUCUGAAUUGCCAGUUGUCUUUUAUUGGUGCUAAGACAUCCUUAUGGCUCCUUUGGUAUGGUUUGUAAGUGGAGAAGGCUCUUCUUCAUUCAUCCUCUCCAGACCACACUGCCUUUGGCAUACGGCCCACGGGCCCUGUUUGGCACAUCUGUGGCACUUCCAGUUGAGGCAGAAUGGGCAAUGGCAUUUGCAGGAAAUAGCAAAGGGGGAGUGGGGCAGCCAAAAUAUCCUGUGCAGAUGCAGGCCUUCAGCUGUGACUCGAGAGCAUUUGGGUGCCUGCCACUUGGAUUUGUAUCACAAAGGGCAAUGUCUUUGGCUGGAGGAGAGCCUCGCUCAGCGGAGAAAGCAGAAAGAUCAGAGAGGUGCUCUGAAAGGUCUCCUGCGGUGCAGAGCUGUCAGCGAGUGUGAGCUGAGAGCGGGCCCGGCCCUGCCCGGCGUGGAGCCGCAGCAGAGCCCUGGCAGAGCCCGGAGCAGCCUGAGCCUCGGCAGGGCCAGGCUGCAAGGAGGCCCUGGUAGCUGCAGGAGGCACAGCCCGGCCCUGCGUGCCUCUUGCUGGCAGCGGGCGCAUCCUCCGCUCUCAGAGCCCAACACAGCCGGCUGCUCCCGAGGGCAAGCGGAGCCCUGCUGGGCACAGCCCAGCCCGGAGGCAUUGGCCCUCUGGAGUCUGCCCGAGGAGAGAAAGGCCAAGGGCAGCCGAGGCCCGCUGGCCUGGCUCAGCAUUCCCACUCUUGUGCCGCUGCCCUGCGACUCCUGGCAAAGGUCAGCAGUGUGUGCAGCACCCUGGGCACCGGGGCAGGGAGCCGGGCUGCUCGGCAGGCUGGAGCACAGGGCAGCGUCCUUCAGGCAUGGCACUGCUGAGGCCUGGGUGUGUGCUGAGCAAUGCAGCCCCCACAAAGCCCUUGGUGUCCCCACAAGUUGCCAUGCCUUGUUCCCAGGUGUGCCCAGCUCUGGCAGGAGAAAGAGCCUGCAGCGCCGUGCCCUGCCCAGCCAGGGCUCUCUGGCACAGAGCAGCAGCAGCGCCAGCACCUUUCAAUCUGCUCCUUCCUUAUCUUCUCCUGGGACACAGAAGCCUCUGGAAAUCAGCACCACCAGGCGUGUUCCCAGCUCAGAGCAGCUCCUGCUGGCAGUCAGACGCUGCCUGUUUGACUGCUUCCAAAGGGGAAUAAAGUCAGAGAUGUACAUCCUCAGGAGCCCUGGGAAUAUCCAAUAAACGUGCAAAUAUGUGGGAGAUUCGUUAGGAAUUGUUUUAGCUAUUAUGCCAACAGUGCCUUCUCUU